GAACCCAGUGCCUUCUUCUUCCUCUUUUCUGUUCUGACUGUGAAGUUAAGUUUUGCUUUUCCACAUAUGCUGGCCAUGAUGACCUAUCACAGGACCAAAGCAAUAGGGCUAGCAGUAGCACCAGCUUAAUAAGUUGAUUAUCUCAGAUAUUUAUGACAAUUACAGGAAUCCGACGAACCAACCUGAGUGAGGAAUAAUUUCAACUUUUCAAGAAAAUGGUUCCUGGAAGCAGUCCUCCAUGUACACAGAGGGAUGAGUGUGUGUGCACAGAGAAAUGGAACAAUAAAUCGAAUAAGCCAAUCAGGCAAACUGUAAGCCAAUUUGGC
rnacentral:lncRNA from 1 species